UGGGGAAUUUUGGACAAUGGGGGGAAACCCCUGAUCCAGCCAUCCCCGCGUGUGCGAUGAAGGCCUUCGGGUUGUAAAGCACUUUUGGCAGGAAAGAAACGUCGCGGGUUAAUACCCCGGGAAACUGACGGUACCUGCAGAAUAAGCACCGGCUAACUACGUGCCAGCAGCCGCGGUAAUACGUAGGGUGCAAGCGUUAAUCGGAAUUACUGGGCGUAAAGCGUGCGCAGGCGGUUCGGAAAGAAAGAUGUGAAAUCCCAGAGCUUAACUUUGGAACUGCAUUUUUAACUACCGGGCUAGAGUGCGUCAGAGGGAGGUGGAAUUCCGCGUGUAGCAGUGAAAUGCGUAGAUAUGCGGAGGAACACCGAUGGCGAAGGCAGCCUCCUGGGAUAACACUGACGCUCAUGCACGAAAGCGUGGGGAGCAAACAGGAUUAGAUACCCUGGUAGUCCACGCCCUAAACGAUGUCAACUAGCUGUUGGGGCCUUCGGGCCUUGGUAGCGCAGCUAACGCGUGAAGUUGACCGCCUGGGGAGUACGGUCGCAAGAUU
rnacentral:rRNA from 1 species